UACGUAGGGUGCAAGCGUUGUCCGGAAUUAUUGGGCGUAAAGAGCGUGUAGGCGGCCAGGUAGGUCUGCUGUGAAAACUCGAGGCUCAACCUCGAGACGUCGGCGGAAACCAUCUGGCUAGAGUCCGGAAGAGGAGAGUGGAAUUCCCAGUGUAGCGGUGAAAUGCGUAGAUAUUGGGAGGAACACCAGUGGCGAAGGCGGCAUCCUGGACCGACACUGACGCUGAGGAGCGAAAGCCAGGGGAGCAAACGGG
rnacentral:rRNA from 1 species